rnacentral:lncRNA from 1 species
UGAAAUCAAAAUUAAACUGGAAUAAACUAAAGAUACUGUCUGAAUAACUAAUACUGAAAGUCUGGAUAAUAGCUAGUAGUCCAACAAGCCUCUACAACUAAUAAACUAGAGAGCCAUUGGAACAAACCCCCAACUGACUUGAACUAAACUGUAAAUAGUAAAUCAAAUACUAUGAAAGCUGAAAAUCUAGAUAAAUUGGCCCUCGAACCAUGAGGACUCACAACUGUAGGAAUGUAGAUAGAGAUUCCCGAAAUCACUCACACUGCUGAGACUGAGCACCUGAACCUACAUUAUGAGACAAUGUAGCACAUAGACGUAUAUGUGAAUCAGUACUUUGACGAUGUACUAAGUAAUGGGGGUGAAUGCAUAAGUAAAUGUAAUCUCUCAACGUUAUUAAAAUCAUAGAAUAUGCAUGUUGUAUGUAAUGACUCACAUGGCUGGAAUAAUUGGAAGCUAAAAAUCAUAGAUCAUGAACAAUUAAACAUAUUGUAUAAAACUGGUGCGCCAUCACCUUUAAAGUCUAAAUCCUGUACUUGUAUACUGUUUUCAAAUCAUGCAAACUAAGUGUAGAAAGGACUCACUUUUAUCAUCUAAAAACUAAAAGCUGAAAUCUAAUAAUUGAUGUGCUAUGUAAGAUAAUAUCUGAGUAAAAUUCUGAGCCUUUACACCUAGUUUCGAAAAGCUUUUCUGUUAUUAUUUUCUGUUAGAAAGGUUCUUCUAACCGACAUAAACCAUGUGAGCUAUCAUGGAGUCCAACUUCUCGUUCCCCUAAGGGAAAAAUCUCAUGUUGGGGAGAGGUGUCAUACUCUUGCUAGGGAGUAUAACCUGAGCUAAGUGAUCACAUUUGUAACUGUCAUCCAUAUAAAAAUUGGAAUACUGAAUCUGUACCUACAUUGGCACAUAGUUCUAGGAAAGUAGGAUGCUCUAAACCUACACUUUCUGCUCGGUGCUAAAUACUACUCCCUUUAGUCUACAUUCUCAUUCUGUUGGAAAUCCACUUUAAAACUCGUAUAAAGGUUUAUAAUGAAAAUCAAUUUUAUAUCUGUAAAUCUAUUAUGUAACUAAAACUAUAAAGUGGAUUGUAUAUCAAAGCUAAGAUCAAAAGAUCACAUCUUUAUCAAAAUCUGAAAAUAACUAGUCAUGGGAUGCUUAAAGCAUAGUCAUUCUUGAAAUAUCAACAUACAAACUAGGGCCAAGUAACCCAUACUUCAAAAUCUUGUCAAAACAUCAUAAUAUCCAUGCUUCAUGAUGUAAAUAUUGGUAAUUCAAUUCAAAAUCUGAAAAUUUUGACAAUACACAUAAAAAUACUAAACAAAACAUGCAAUUCAACACCAAAAAUACUUAAAACAUCAUAAUCUUCAAAUAGCAAUAAAUGGGUAUGAACCCUAAAUUGAUAUCCAUGUAAAGUCAUGUAAAUUUGUAAUUUAAAACUAGUUUUGGACACAAGGAUGAAAGAUUUAUCCUUGUGCAAAAUCCCACAUAUCUUAAAUGAUGAACUAGAUGAAAAAACUUGGUUUUGAGAUCCUAUGUGUGCUCUUGAAUGUUGAUUCUUGGAAUUCUUGAAUUGGGAACCUUGAAUUUUGAACUAUUUUGGUCAAAGAAUGGUGGAAUUUUGGGGAUUCUUGAAGUUGAAUAUUGAAGCCUAGAGUUUUAGUUGAGAGAAAUUUGAUGGACAAUGAGCAUAUUUUGCUCAAUAAUACACUUAAUCGUUUGUUUUCACAGUUUGGGGAUGUGGGCAAAAGACUAAACUUCCCUUGAAAUUUAAAAUUCGUAACUAGGUUGUCGAUUGAGGCUUCACCUCUACGCGGUGAGUGGGUCAUCGCGAUACCCACCGUGAUGCGAUGGAAUCGCGGUGACUCACUCAAUUGUGACAAUUUGUCACGACCCGAGUCAGCACCCUGGCCGCGACGAGCAUCCCGAACCAUGUAGGCUCGGGCGCCUCUUCUUGUUCGAUACUCAUGAACACCAUUCAUAACAAUAAAGAAAAAAAUAUGGAAUAUAACAAAUGAAAUCAUAGUCAUACUCUGAGUUUGGUUUAACAUUUCAGAAAUAAGUAAAUCAACAACUAGAAAAUAUUUGUUCCAGUCUGCGAAAUCUCUAUUGCAUAUUAAAUUAGCAAACUGUCUAAAAUUGGGACAAGGCCCCAGUGGACCUAAACCAAAGUAAAUGACAAGUAUUUGAGAAGAAAUAGGCUUUCCGGAAUAGAGAAGACUCACCAACUGCACACUUCACAUCUUUCUGAAAAACUCUACGGCUUAGCAGAACCGCUAGACUGAGCCUCAGACCCUGAAAUAUUGAGGGUCAAUACAAUUGUACUGGUACGCAGAGCAAUCCAAAAUAAUGAAGUUAUACAUAUAUAACAUAGGUGAGAGCAAGUCAUAAAACAUUAUGCAUGAAAUAGUUCAAAAUACAUUGGCCAUCUCGAAUGCUCUUAAAACAAUCUUGUAAAUGCAACUCUAUGCUUUGUAUUACUUUUGAGCUAGGUGGUAUACCCUACAAUUCUGAAAUUCCAUGGACUAUAUAGAAUCUGCUCUUGACUCGGCAGCCAAGCCCCCAACUCAAGUUUGCCGCAAAAGUUGGAGUAUCUGUCUCUGAUACGCCACAGGGUACUAGGCCAGUGUAUAAUCCCUCUUGGGGAUGUAAUGAAACUCAUAUCGACAAAACAUGAUUUUAGGUAGGAGUUAUUUGAACUCAAACCUUCUUUAAGCAACCACCUAACCCUCUUUAAGCCUAUUUUUAACUCUUUAAGACAUGUGUUCUUUGAAACCAAGUCUGAAACUAUUAAUCUGUUAUGGCAUUCAUUUAUAUGGUAUCAUCAUACCAUUGACUUGCAAGUCGAAUCCCUAAGCCAUAAAAUAUCAAAUCAAAUAAUUCAAUAAGAUUCAUACUUCAAAAUAUUUGUCAAAUUAUGCAAAGAAUCUCGCUUUCCAAUAUUUCAACAAAACAUGUGGUGGUCAUGUAUUUUUGACAAACCAUGCAAUUCUUCAUUAUUUAUUUUCAACAUUUAUAAACAUGUAAAAAACCCUCUCUUCAAUUCAAAAUCAUCAUCAAAUCAUAAAUAAUAAUCAAGACAUUUGUAUCAUGCUUCUCAAGAUGCAUUAAAAAUAAUCCAUAUCGUAUGAAAAGACUAGGAAAUCAUGGCAAGAGAGGGAUUCCAUAUAUUCAAACCUAAUUUCAUACAUACAUAUGAGUACAAAUAAAUUAGGGGGAAAGGCCUCAAGACCAAAAUAAUAAUAUCAUUAAAGAAUUCAUAAUGCAAGAUUGUAUAUUUAAUUCCAAAACCCUUCACAAAUUCAUGAUCUCACAAUGUUUAAAUGGUAUUGAAAUAAUUUCCUUAUGCCCAUGUAGUCACUUAGGAGGAAGGGUGGAAUCCGAAUCUCACUUAAGUUCUUGAAAUUCUUGACUUCAAAGAUGAACUCUUGACUAAUAUACCCCUCCUGACCCAGAAUUUAAAAAGAAAUCGUGAAUUGGGUACCGACGCAAUGCGUCGAUAUUGCGUCGGUCCACUAUUUCAUCGAUGCGGUGCAUCGAAUUCGCGUCAAUUCACUAUUUCCAACAACCAAUCUCACCUCUAACGCUUUUCAAAAAAUCUGAAACUUCCUCGACACAUUCCCUUUACACCCCAGAACAUAAAAAAAAUUUAAAAAUCCAUAUCUCAAGAUUGGAAAAAUUGAUUUAGAGAUCACACAAAUUUAGGAGCUUAAAAUAUGACUUAAGUCCUUUUUGACACUUAGAAAAUUUUCAAGUUUCUAGCCUCUCAAACAUGCUACAAGGUGAGAUACCACGUAGAAGAUUUUUGCGGAGUGUUACACAAUUGCUGCUUUGAGGUUCAUCGUGACGCGGUGCAAUCGCGGUGACCCUCUGAAAAUUGACGAAUGCCAAAAUGGAUUUCAUCGAGAUGCGAUGGCAUGCUCAUCUCGAUACUCACCGUGAUGCGGUGCAAUUGCGAUGAGCUACUAUUUUGCCAAUUCGAAUGUGAUCCAAUCCUUAUCCGAAAAUUCCAAAACUUCCUGAGACAUGCUAUUUUUACCCCUAAAUAUAAUUCAACUAAAAAUUCAUUGCCGUGGAGACUGAAAGGUCAACUUAAAAAUCUUUAAAGUUUAAAGGGAGUCAAAAUGACUAAGUCCCUUAGUUCUUAGAUUUAUUAUCAGGUUCAAGUAUGUACUAAGGGCUGGACUGAGCUAGAAAUAUUUGGGGUAUUACAAGUAUUCACAAACAAAGAACGAAUUUAACUUCAGAUCCUAUCCGAUUUGUAUUAGGAUACACUGUAAUUGAUAGCGAAAGAGAAAAGUGGACUUCUAUUUUAUAAUUAAAAAACUCCUUCCAUAUCAGUUUUUAUUUGCAAAAAUAAAAAAUAUUUCCUACGACAAUUUCCUUCAACCAACUAUAUCAUCCUUGUUAUAAAAUAUAAAACAAGAAGACUAAAUAGAGAGAGAAGUGGGAGACUUUUUUAUUUCCCUUGAUGGAUGAAAGAUCAUCAGAUUGAGUAUAUAAUGAACAAAAUCUCUCUAUUUAUAAGGAAAAAUACUCCUAGUUUCUAACUAAAAGAUAUAUACUUCAAAUCUGAUAGAUAUCAACUAGAUCUUGAUAGAUCUCAUUAGAUCUUAUCUAUAUUCUUGAUAGACAUUCACUAUAAUGUAAAUACAUUUAUAACACUUCCCCUUGAAUGUCUAACUGAUAGAUAAUAUACCUCGUUAAAAUCAUACUAUAAAAAACCCAGUGAGAAAAAAAUCUAGUGAAGAAAAAAAGAGUACACAUCUCUAACAAUACGCAUAUAGGUUGCCUCAUUAAAAAUAUUACAAGUAAAAUUCAGUGGGACAAAACCUCGCAAGGAAACAAGAGUACAACGCAUAUUAACCUCCCCUAAUGAGAACAUCCUUUAAUCUUUGCAUUCCGAUCUUGUGCACCAUCUUCUUGAAAGUUGUAGUUGAAAGAGACUUGGUGAAUAAAUCAGCCACAUUGUCACUUGAACGAAUCUGUUGCACAUUAAUAUCACUAUUUUUUCGUAUCUUAUGUGUAUAGAAAAGCUUUGGCAAAAUGUGCUUCAUUCUAUCUCCUUUUAUGAAUCCUCCCUUAAGUUAUGCUAUGCAUAUUGCAUUAUCUUCGUAUAAAAUUAUGGGUACAUUAUCACAUUUCAAACCAUAUUAUUAUCGAAUGAGAUGCAUCAUAGACCUCAACCACACACAUUAUCAGUUUGUUUCAUGAAUAGCUAUAAUCUUAGCAUGAUUCGAUGAAGUGUCUACGAUAGACUACUUCGUAUAUCUCCAAGAUAUGAAAAUAUCCCUACAUGUGAACACAUAGUCUAUUUGAGACCGAGAUUUAUGUGAGUUAAAUAAAUACCCAGCAUCAUCAUAAUCAACAAGAUUAGGACUGCUAAAAUAAAUCCAUAUCAGUAGUCCCUUUUAGAUACUAUAAUAUGUGUUUGAUCUCAUUUCAGUAUCUCCUAGUAGGAGCAGAACUAUACCUUGCUAAUAAAUUAAUCGAGAAGGCUACAUCAGACCUUGUAGUAUUUACAAGGUAUAUUAAUGUUGUGCACCAAAUGCAUUAAGAUAUGAUACUUCAUAUUUUUCAUUUCAACAAAUAAUCUAUUGCUUUUGAAAACUCUCCUAGAGUUCCAAUGAUUUUCAAGUUAUAAACUUUUGCAAUAUAAUGAUUAUAAAUAAGUUUCCUAAAAACUUUUAUAUGCUUCAAAUAUUUUAAAUCCUUACAAAGUUUCAUAUAACUUUUGUCAAGUGGCAAUAUUCAAUUUCACGUGUGACAUCGUCAAGUGUUUGGAUUGCAAAUCAAAUAAGUUUUAUGCUUACCAAGAUGCAUCCUUUCAUGUCACUUGAUAAAUAUUUCUACGUUAGCAUGCUUAAAUAAAUGUAGAAUUCAGAUCCUCGUAAGUUUUUACAAUACUGCGUCAAUAUUGUAUCAAAGAUAUCAUUAAUGAUAUAUCAUUUUGUAUCUAUUCACAAUGCGACAUAACAUUUUGAGAUCUCAUUACUUCAUUAUUUUCAGGUACCUGAAUCUCUCAUAAGGUUUCAUGAAGUGUUAUGUCGUAGACUCUUCAAGAGCACAUUGUCUUCUUAUUAUGAUUAUUUGCUCCUUAUCCUUUACAAGGAUUAUUUUAUUUGGAACCGAUUGGUCUACCACGCUUCACACGUGCGUAGAAACACUUGCAGCUUAAAUAUGAAAUUAAAUUUAAGUCGACAGAUGCUUCCGACAUUUGACUUAAAUUAUCUUUUGAAUAAAGAUCUGAUGAUAAUUCCUAAUAUAUUUUAUAGUUGCUUAUAAUUUCCCCCUUAUGUUAGGAAAAUUAACAUACAUCCUCCAUAUUUUUUGAGGAAUCCAUCUUUGUGCAUCUUGAUAUAUUCAUUUAUCGUAUAUCGCAUAUCAAAACUAUUAGAUGGAAUAGUUGAUUCCUGACCUUGAACCAAUUAAGAGGGAAGAAAUAAUCAUAAUUUAUUGGUCUAAUACAUACAAGUGCUAUUGUAUGCAACAUAUCAUAUCUCAGAUCAACACAUGAAGCUUUGUUCUCAUUAGUAAUGGUUUAGCUAUUUAUCGAAGGCAUUCACUGCUAAACCAUCAUUAUCAAGAUGAAUUGUUUUGAUUAUACAAUCUGAAAAUUAUGUUCUUAACUUAAUUUUAUUGAGCAAGCAACUUUAUGAAUGUCAAACGGCAGGUUGACAAUGAAUGUACAUGUGUCUUCUUAUAUCGAUGCAUCUUAAUAGAUCACAUGACAGGUGAACGAAUCCAUAUUCACCUUUUAUACUUUUCAAAUUUAAGAAAUUCAAUCUCAACAUUAGUUGGUCCAACCAACUUAUCAUGAGAAAAAGCAAUACUAAAACUAAAGAAUUUUCUAAUUCCUCAAUAUAUGUUCAAUACUCAGUAUGCACAUCAUUGAGAUGUUGCAAUCGUUCAUGUCAAUUUAUGAACUUUUAUUCUAGUAAACUUUAAGUUUACCAUGACAUGUGCUUUUGCUUUAGUAAAUUUCAGAUUUACUAUUACAAGAAUAAGUUACAAAUUUACUGCAUCAUUCGGAGGUAGGUUGUGAUACCAUCACAAUCAAGUGCACGUUUUCAUUAAUAAACUUCUCAUUCCCCAGAAAUGAAAUAUAAUCAUGCCUUAAGCGUAUCAAAACAUGAUAGCUACUACAAAAGCAAAUUGAGGCACACAUAUGAUUUAUUGCUACCAUAUUCAAUUCAAGGAAUGGAGCAUAUUUAAUGGGACAUGUUUCACCAAAUGCCCAUUAUUUUGCCUUAACCAUCAUAAUAUCAUCAAUAUGGUGCAUUUAGAUUCAAACUCAACGUCUUUUCCAUAUAAAGGCGUCUUAGGCAUAAAUCGAUAGAACUUGAACCCAACUCCUUAUCAGUAUGGUGCAUUGGAAUUUUUAACAAUGUCUUACCCUCUUGAUGUGAUAAAAUUUAAAUCCAUCGUCUUACAAAAAUGCUUUUUGAAAAAAAAAAAAAAGAGUGAAUAAAUUUAAGACAAAUAAUUUUGAACCAAUUAGAUUUUUUUUCAGAUCCAACAAACCCAACAAGAUAUAACACUUGUGAUAUAUAUACUUGUUCUAGCUAUUCUUAUCAUUUAUCCAUAUAUUAUAUGAAAUUACAUUAUUAAUGAUGCAAUACUUUACACAAUGCUUCACUGGUACACUAAGAGACGUUAAAGUGGUCUUCCAACAUUCCACGUUAGAAGUAUUUGCUGGAAUACUCGUACAACCAAUAAAUAGAAAAGCACAUACUGUAAAUAACAAUAUUGACCAAGCCAGUUACCUCAUGCUACGAAGAGUAUUUUAAUUGGUUAGACAAAAAUACUUAUACAACAAAUACAUAUCAUAUGGUAGUAGCUUUCACGUGAUUUCUUAAUACAAGACAUAGGAAAUAAUCUUUGUUAAAGGAAAAUAAUUACUUUUCAUUAUACCGAGUGUCCUUAUAUGCGUGACUUAAAUUAUAAAUUUUGAGAAUCGUACUCACCUUGAUUCGGCAUAGGGUAGAGUCUCGUGCUGAUAACUUGUUAUUUAUCUAUAAUCUUUAAUAUAUUAAAAGUGUGAAAACCCUUGGAAUAGUAAUUUAAAUUGUUUGCCCUUCAUUACAAAUCUCCAUAAUAGACAAAAUUAUAAUUUCACUUAUUUUCUUCAUUUAUUAUAUUCUAAUAUUUAUAAUAUUGACUCCUAAAAUAUAUAAGACAGUUUUUCUCUAUUUGUAAAAAUAGGUCUUUUAAUAUAUGAUAAGAGGAAUCCUAUAUACAUGAAAAUAAGGAGUCCUGAUUAAUUAAAAAAAAACAAAUUUGCCUACUUUCAUAUUUAAAUAAAUGGAAAGAAAGAUUUCCUUUGUCCUUAUAUAUUCUAUAAUUUUUAUCAUCUUCACCAUAAACAAUUAGCAACUUUGCCUUAAUUACGUCUAAACUUGCUUGGCAUAGUAGGUUUGUCUCAUUACUUUACUGUUUUUAAUAUUUCACUAAGUAAUCUUAGGCUUUUGUUUUUCUUCAGUGGUUUUUUAAAUAGUAUGUUUUUCUUCAGAGGUUUUUUAAAUAGUAACUGUACCACUAUGUUCGAUUAUCAGUAUUAACAAGAAGAUUUUUUUAUCAUAAUCAAUUAGAAAAAUACUCCUAAAAUAGGAUAGAAAAAUACUUCUAAAAUAAGACUCUAUUAAAGAAAUACUUCUAUAAAUAUUGAUAUGCACAUUAAACUAGAGAAGAAAUCAAUUUACUUAUUGAAAAAAUAUGAUUGAUGCUCAUAUAACUUGAUUCAAUUGCAUGUAUAGAUUGGUGGAUGCUCAACAUAAUAGAAUUCAAUGUGUGGGUAUAUAUAUAUCUUCUUUAUUUUCAUUCAAACAUUACUUAUGUCAAAAUUUUCGCUCAGACAAGAAUUAUUUUCAUCAAAACUGAAAUUUUGUGAUCACUAUUUAUUUAAUUAAAUCUAAGAUUUUGAGAAAAUUUUCUAACAAAAUCUUAGAUUUAAUUAAAUAAAUUCUCCAAAAGAUGUUGAAUUUAAUUAUUGUAUUCAUCUUUAUUAUUUAAGAAAAUGUCUUAUUUAGUAUAACGUUUGAAUGCAAUAAAGUGAGGUACACGCGUGAGCCGCUUACACCUAAACUAAUAUUUAUUAUAAAGCAGACGACGAAGCACAAAAGGAAGCCACAUGGCAAGCUAUAGUUACGCCAUGUGGCAAUUCUUAGGACAAAACUAUUAAGUAUUGUAAUAAAAAUUUUGUAAUAAAGAAUAUUAAAAAUUUGAAUUUGAAAAUAAAAGAGGAAAAAAAAAGAGUCUAAAAUUGAAUUUGAAAUAUAUUAUUCUUAUUUAAAAAAAAUAUUAUCCUUCUUUUAAAAAAAGUUAUUACAUUAAAAAUAGAAACCCAUGCUUAAAGAGUUCUAAUAGACUUUUACUAUUUCAAACUUAUCUCUUUUAAAACUUAAAUCUAGAAAUUAUAAAAAAUAUUUAAAUAUAAUUUAAUUACAUAUUAUUGAAAGAUAAAAAUGUUAUUAAAAUAAUAAUAGUAAUAAUUAGUAGUAUAGUGGUAGGAACAGUUGUGUAAGUACGUAGUAUGUAGAAGUAGGAUAGUAAUAAUAAUAAUAAUAAUAAUUUUAAAAUUAAAGAUUGGCUCCAGGCUCUUUUAUUUAAAAAGUCCAAAAAUCCAAACCUAUUACUAAAUCGAGUCUAAGGUAACCAGUCCAAAAGAUAAAAGGAAAAUUAAACAAUUAAAUCAAAUUGAAAAGUGGAAAUAAUAAUAAUAAUAACAAUAAUUAAAACACUAUUAAAAAUACGUUAAACACACUGUGGAAGCACUAUUAAGAAUUUUAAAACAACUAAUUAAAUAUAAGAACAAGUUUGAGCAAGUGUCUUCUUUUUUUUUUUUGUUUAAAUCAAUUAAAUGAGUUUGAGUUCCUAAUAAAAUGCCAACUAUGUAUUUUUCAAGUUUGAAUGUAACUUCUUAAAUGAUUUACUAUUUUUGAAAUUUUGAAUUUCUAAACUAUUAGAUAAUGAUAAGUAAGAAUCUUAUCUUUUCUAAUAAAUUGAUAAGUGAUAUACUUAAAUUUUAAAUUUGACUGAAAUUUCGGUUGACAUAAAUAUCCACAUCUGUAACCUUCUAUAUAUAUCCCCUUCAAUACAUAUAUAUAGUAUUAUUUAAGCUUUCUUCUUUUCUUCUUUUUUUUUGUAAGAUACAAUUAUUUUCAUAUUUAGAUUGUAUAUUUGUAUUUAUCUCAAAAAAAAUUUAUAUGAUCAUUUUAUUCACAAGAUUAUUUUCAUUAUUGCUGUUAAAAUUAUCUUUGAAUAACUUAUCAAAGUACGUUGAUGUUUAACUUAGCUUUUAAUUUUUUUAUUGUUAUUUAUAAUUAACAUUAUAUCUAAUUUUUGUCACAGAUAUAUCUACCAUGCUUAAAAAGAUUACAAGUAAUGCUCAUCAUAUUUUUUUGAUUAAUUACCAAUAUAUAUUGUUCAUGGUUAAUUUAGUUUUGAAUUAUUUUAUUGUUAUUUAUGAUUAACAUUUUAUUUUUUGAAACAAAUGUAUCUACCAUGGAUUAAAAAAACUUAAAAGUAAUGCUCAUCAAAUUUCUCUGAAUAGAUUAGAAAGGUAUGUUCUCAUACUUGAUUUAAUUUUAUAGUAACUUUACUAUUUUUGUGAUUAACACUAUAUUUAUAUUUUGUCACAGAUGUAUCCAAGGAAGCUGAAACUUUCACGAAUCUUAUGCACGUAAAUCUUUCCAAAAAGCAAAAUAAAUAUUUGAGAAAUCAACAGUACAAUUGAGAGUUGAAAUAUAGAAAGAAUAUUUAUCAGACUAUUUUUGUAAAGAAUGAAUGCAAAUAUCUUUAUGCGUUCAAUUAUAAUAUAUUUUUCUAUCACAUUUACAUAUCCACUCUAUUUUAAGAAGGUUAUAAAAAAGAUCUAUAUGCUUUUAUAUAUUGCAAUUGAUUUAUUCUUUUCAUGAGUUCACUUGCAAAUUUAUAUUUAGUAUAUAAAAAAUAUUUACUAAUUUUAUUUGUCGUUUAUAUUUUUUAAAACCUCACAACUAAAAUCUCGAUAAACAACAAGUCAUAUGAGCAUUAUAAUAUAAAAAUUAAUUAACUUAAAUUUAAAUUCAGUAUUUUAUAUUUUGAAAUAUAAGAUAAGAAGACUUAAUUACUUAUAAAGUGUAGCCUAAAAAUAAGCUAAUUAAAAAAUAUGCUAGAGUAGUGAUAGUUUUAGUAGUAGCAGUGGUAGUAAUAACAAUAGAAAAAUAACAACUACUACUAUUACUACUACUAUUUUAUUAUUAUCAUCAUAACUUAUCUUAAAUAUUUAUCUCAAUUCAAUUAUAUAACUUAUUAUAUAAAUAUGCAUAUUUUUAAAAAAAAAUAAGAAUAAAGAGAAUAAUAAAUUAAUCUUAUUUUAAUAAUUUUAUGAUAGCAUUCGAAUUUAAAAGAUUAGAAAUAUUUAAAUUAAAAUUUAAAAAUUUUAAAAAGAACAAAAAAUACUUGAUUUUGACUUUUUUUCUUUUGGGUGGGUUUUCAGCUGGGGGGGAGGAGGAAUAUGGGGAGAGGGGCGUAAAUAGUUGUUUAUUUUGUUUCAUUAUCAUAUAUGUAAAUAAAAUAUUGUAUUAUAAUACUAUUGUCAAAUUACUUAUUCAAAGAAAUCAUUCGAAUUAAAAUAUUAUUGUGAUCACUUAUUUUAUCUUUCUAACAUUUAAUAUAUUCAAAAAUUUCUAUAAGUAUAUGUAAGUCCAUAAUAUAUAGUAUUAAAAGAGAAGAACAUUAUAUAAUAUUAAAAAUAAUCAAAAAAAAUAUUGAUAAGUACAAAAAGAUAUUUAAAAUAUUCAAUUGAGAUGAGUAGGGGGGAAAGGAAGUCGAAUAUUCAAGUUAAGAAAUUUAGUUUAAAACAAGAUUAAAGGUAAAUUAAAAAUAUAUGAAAUUACAUAUUAAUACUAUUGUCAAAAUUACUUAUACAAAGAAAUCAUUCGAAUUAAAAUAUUAUUAGGAUCACUUAUUUUAUCUUUCUAACACUUAAUAUGUUUGAAAAAAUCUAUUAGUAUAUGUAAGUCCAUAAUAUAUAUUAAAAGAGCAGAACACAUUAUAUAAUAUUAAAAAAUUUUAAUCAAAAAAAAUAUUGAUAAGUAGAAAAAGGUAUUUAAAAUAUUCAAUUGAGAUGAGGAGGGGAGGAGAGGAAGUCGAAUAUUCAAGUUAAGAAAGUUAUUUGAUUUAAAAUAAGAUUAAAGGAAAAUUAAAAAUAUAUAAAAUUACAUAUUAAAAGUAGUAAGUUAUCAUACUAAAGAGUUCUAAUUGUAUUCUUAAUGUUAUCUAUUCUUUUUUUAAAUUUGAAUUGGAGAUACAAUAUCUUCUCAAAGAUGAACUUACAAUUUUUUUUUAAAAUUAUAGAUACAUUUAAUUAUUAGCUGUAUUAAAAAAUAUAUCUAAAUGUAAUUAUUAAAAUAUUAAAUGAAACAUGAGAACAUACUACUACUAAUCAUAAAUAGUAGCAGUAGUUGUAGAACAUUGUAUAUAUGUAUAUUAGAAGUUGUACGUAGUAUGUGUAGUAGUAGUAUAAUACAAUUAAUAUGUUAAAUGAGAAAGUAUUUUUUAAAUUAUAACAAGUAAAAUUUUAAAUUUUGUAUGUCAUUUAAAGUAUCAAUAAACAACGAAUUAAAUGAACAUUACAAUAUAAGAACCCUAGAUUUAAAUUCAAUAUCUUAUAUUUUGAAAUGUAAGAGAAAAAAAUUCAGCUACCUAUGAAAUGUAACAAAAAAAUAAUAAUUCAACGUAUUCUGAAAAAAAUAAUUAAAUUAUAGUAUUUUUUUUUUUCCAAUAUUGAGGGUUGGGAUGAGGGAUAAGAAUUUUGAAUUAAUUUUGAGAAUAUAAUGAAUAAAUUAAAUAAAAGAAUUUCAAUAUAGAAAUUAAUUGAAAUUCAGUAAUUACUAUCCAUACAUUUUAUAUUUAAAAAAAAAAAAAGAUAAAGUACAUGAUUAAACAAAAUAAAUUUAUAAUUUUAUAUUAACAAAAAAUUACUUGAUAAUUACAUUAAGCAAUUUGAUAAGUUAAUAAAAGUCAAUAUUCACAAUCAAAUAAUAUUUGAUAGUGAACAAUGCAAUAAAGAAAACUGUUGAUCAUUUUUAUUUUUGAUAAUUAUAUGAUUCAUUAUUUUUUUUCAUUUGAUAUGAUUUGAUUAUGAGAUUGUCUGAAGGAGAGGUUGAGAGGGUUGAAGACAAGUGGGGGUGGUGCGGCGAAGUGAUGGUGGCGAAGGGAGAAUACAUAGUUCAACUAAAUUAAUUGAACUAUGUAAUUUUAUGAAUUAUUUAUUAUAAAAUAUAUUCAAUAUAUUAAUUUAAAAUAUAUUAAUGUGAUACAAUAAAAAAUAAUUUAUUAUUUCAAACUAAUAAGAUAACAUUUCUAAUGAUUUAUUUUCUAAAAAUAUUCCGCGCAUCGCGCAAGUACCUAUACUAGUAAAAUAUAAAAGCAAGAAUAAGAAGAAUAAAUAGAGAGAGAAGUGGAAAACUUUUUUAUUUUCCUUGAUGGAUGAGAGAUCAUCAGAUUGAGUAUACAAUGAACUAAAUCUCUUUAUUUAUAGGAAAAAAUACUCCUAAUUUCUGACAAAAAGACAGAUACUUCAAAUCCUAAUAGAUAUCAACUAAAUCUUGAUAGAUCCUAUCUAUAUUCUUGAUAGACAUUCACUAUAAUGUAAAUAAAUUUAUAACAAUCCUAAUUAUUUCUCGAAAUAUAAUUUAGGACUCUUUCUUCACUUAUAAAAGGAAAAAAGAAAACUUAUCAAUAUUAGUUCUUAAUAUAUUUUAGGACUUGUCGAGCCCCAUUUUUAUCAGGAAAAACGGGAUUCGACGUGACCACUCUUUUUAGAAUUGUUUGUAGGACAGUGUGAAGAGUCGCAACCUAACAUAUUAAGGUGCAUAAGGGCACCGGUCUAGGCUAACUACGAGCCUAUUUUAUUAUUCAGUCUAGUUCAUCAAAAAUUCGGGUAAGGGUUCAAAUUACCUCGAAAGAAAGGUGUUAGGCCCCUUUCGAGGUCCACAAAGGUGGUUCCCGACCGAAUUCAUACUUUACGUGGGAAUUUUAUGUGAUCAAAUAAAUGUCGCUUAUUAUUAACUUAAAUUUUUACUAACUGAUAAAGUAAGUAAUGAACAGACAUUUAACUUAAUUAUUUUAGCUAUUAAUUAUCUAAGUGAUAAAAUCAAUAAAACAUGUAAUAAGACAAGCGAGAAGAAAAAAAUGACAUAAAUUAUAACAAAGGGAACUGCUUAUGUAAUAAACUACCCCAAAUAAAUAAACAUGUAAAGUAAAUAGAAAGAUAAAUUAGAAAAGAAAAUCCGACCUACUGGCCGAAUUCCUAAGCAAGUAACAAUGUCAAAUGUCAUGUAAUGUCUCUAGAGAUCAUCACUUCCAGUUGACUACCCGUCCCACCACAUGUAGGUUGAUUGUUAAAUCUAAAGAAGUUCUAAGACAAGAAUAAAACUAACGUCUUUAGUAAUAUCUAUAGUCCCACUGAUCGUCCAAGAGGCAUUGGACUUUGCUAUUUUGUUUUGUGGUCUAGAAAAAGUAAAACUAUGUUUCCUAGGACUGAAAACGCAUAACAAGUAGGACGUCACGUAGCAAAUAAUUGUCCCAAGUUAGCCUCUUAGUUAAUUAAAGUUGAUUAAUGUGACUGCCAUGCAAAGACAAAUAAUUACUUAUUUUAUUUAGUCAACCUAUAGGCAUGAUAUCUAUGGGGUCACACAAUUGUUUAUUGAAAAGCAUUUAUAACAAUAUAGUAAGAAUUCAUGAAAAUAAAGAAGAAAUGUCGAAGCAAGCAUGAGAACGUUAAUUUAAUGCGUGAAAGAUAGUUAAACCUUUGGUCAUGGUAUCUAAGUGUUUAUGUCAAAUAAUGUAUUGUGAAUAAAAGCAUGUCAAAGGCAAAUAUGUCUUAAGAGUGAUAUCCCUUAAUUAUGCAAAGAGGUAUCAUAAAUUAAUGAAACGCUGAAAAUUCACUUAAACAUGUCAAAAUUUAUAUUAAACAUGCUGAAAAUUCAAUUAAUCAUGCUGGAAAUUUAAUUAAACGUCCUGAAAAUUCAAUUAAACAUGCUGAAGAUUAAAUUAAAUAUGCUGAAAAUUCAAUUAAACAUGCAGGAAAUUAUACUAGACAUGCUGAAAGUUCAAUUAAACGUGCUGAAAGUCAAAUGUUAACAUGCCAAAAAUAUAUUAACGGGGAUUUAAUUUAAUAUGCUUAAUACGUUAACAUGCUUGAAUCUAAUUUAAUAUGCCAACAUGUAAAAUAUAUGCUUAAUGUCAAUCUAAUUUAGGAUGCCGGAUUCAGUUAAAUCUUAAAAACAAGAAUUCUAAAUGGAUUAAUUAAUAAACCGUAGACUGAGUGCCUAAAUGAUUCAUAUGUUAAUAAGUCCUGAGAUUGUGUACCUAAAUGAUUUGAGUAGCAUGUAACACACAUAAAACCUAAGUCAUGCCUAUCUAUACUAUUCAUAGAGCACGUAAGUCCCCGCCCCCGAGCAGUCACCAAAAUUUAUUAUUACAUCACUAAUGUUUGUACAAUAAUAUUACAAACCAAAUGAUAAACAAUAAAAACUGAAUAGAAAGAACUAAUAUAGUCCAUUGUAAACACCCCGGCGAAUCUUGCAAUCCCCAAAACACUUAAUGAUACUUGUUAGAUACAAAUCAAAAGAGCAAGGCAAGUACAAAAGAACACUCGAAUACACCAACACAUAAUAUUAAACAACACAUCGUCUUAAACAAAAGAACAAAGAAAACAAAGGCAUAUUAAGCAAGCAUUAUUUCAAAUUAGUUCCUAUAAAUAUGCUUUCUAUGUUUUGCUAUCACAAAUACUACGGGAUAAGAAACGAAUGCAUCGAUUAGUGACUUAUCGGUUGACGAUAACGAAUAAUAAUAAUAAUAAAAGAAAACCAAGAAGCACGGAAUCCAAGAACAAAUUGCCACCGAAAGAUCAAGAUUAAUGCUUCAAAAAUGAGUGUCAAAAUAAUAAAGUAAAAUUACCUUUUUUUUUUAAGCUUUUGUCAGAGAAAACAUAUGUACACAUUGUAACUUGUACCCAAUAAGAGAAUGGGGUUGUUUAUAUAGUAAAUUGUAACUUACGCAAUAAAAGAAUGGGGGUUGUUUAUAUAGUAAAGGUGGCUGGAGGAUAAAAGGAAGAAAUAUUUUUCCUCUGUCAACUAAGGACAUUGUUUCUCUAAAUAAACACAUCAAUCAAUCAUGUAAAAAUCCGCUAGAGAAAUAAAAGGAAAGCAAAUAACUGAAAGAAUCAAUCAAUAAUUUUAUCUUCCUUAACUAAAUAUAGACUAAAUCAAUUAACAACAAAUUUAUCAUAAAUAGUAAAAAAAAUUAAAACACUAAAAUACAGAUAUGCAUCCACUUGUACUGAUUAGAAAAUAGGAAAACAAUUAAUCAUGUAGACACAGUCCAAUUAUUUUAAUUGCAUACCAAAUCAUUUUCCAAUCGUCAAAAGAUUCCAUACAUAUCUUGCUAAUGUAAAUCAGACAAGUCCACAUAAUUAAGCAUGGAAGCCUUCAUAAUUCAAAUUCAUAUUAUUGCGCACAUAAAUCAAAUACUAAAAUGAGCAUAUGAACAUCACAAUUCCAUAAUCAAUAAACUCAUGCCAACGAUAUAACAGGGAAUCAAAGUUAAAAUUGGGGUUUGGGCAUCUAAUAGUCUAGGCAUGUAAGUGAACAUAAAAUUGCAAGAAUCAAGUCAAUAUCAUGCCUCAAGAGUCACAAUUUCACAUCUACAAAUUUGUCUUGACAAAAUAGGGAUAGAAAAAAAACUAAAACUGGACAUAAAUUUGAACCACGAUGUCAAACCUGAGAUGGGUUCUUAAGAAACCAUCUUUUUCUGACUGAGAUUUGGUCAUUUCAUGCGGGGUGGUCCAGCGGCAGCGUUUAGUUGGUGCGGCUCGCCGGCUGGUUCUUCGUGGUAAGGUUACCGGCAGCGACCGGUGAUGUUGCAGGUGAGGGACGGCGACGUCGCUGGUUCGUCAGUCGCGCCGCCGAAGAGAGAAUAAUGGAUAAGGCAGCGGCUGCCGAUCUUGCUGGCAACGGCUGCCGGUCUUGCUGGCAGCGGUGUUGUUGGUGUUGGCUCGUCAGCGCCUUCGACAGCUGGUGGUUGAGGGCUAUUGCGGCUGGAGAGAAGGGGACAGCGUGGAGCUGCUGGUGGAAGAGAGAAAUGGGGAUAGGGUCGUCGUUAGUGGCUGGCCACGGGUGACGGCUUGGUUGGCUUUUCUUUUUGAGAAAGAGAGAGAUGAGGAGUUAGGGUGCGGCUGUUUGUGAGUGGGAAAAUGAGAAUUAGGGUUUUGUUGUUGUUUAAAAUGAAAAGAGAUGGAGAUUGAUCUAAGCCGUUGGAUCAACUUUAAUCAACGGCUAAGAUUAAGGUAUUCAAAAAUAGGUCAUAAAUUGAGAUUUAAAUAGAGG